rnacentral:lncRNA from 1 species
GAUUUGGUCUUCCUCUCCUCCUCCCUCCCACUGUUACUGCCCUGCAGCCCUUGUUCAGGUGUACAGACCCUUAUUCUGGCCUCUAGUGUCCCUGUCUGUCAUGACACACCCUUCCGCCCAAAUACCUCUGACCCUAAGGCUGGAAUGGGGCUGGUAGGAGAUAAGUUUGCUUACUCAGUCAUGUCCUUUCUCUUGGCACCUGCUUCCCUGCAGUGUCCUCAAAUGGAUUUGUGUGUGGCAGUGGAGUGAUUGCAUGAAUUUUUCUGUAACACAUUAACUUUGUAUUAUUAUUAAGGGAGUUUGAGAAAGCUUUGCUUAUAAUGUCAAGGCAAGGAGGUAAAAACUGGAGCCCAAAGAAAUUCCCUUAGGGCAAGAUUAUGUUAUAAUAGAAAAUUGAAUUUCCUGAGGCAGUGGCUGCCACCCCUUUUCAGAUGUUUAGUCCAGCAAAUAGCAUCUUUCUUGUAGUCUGUGACAUGGGUGGGGAUGCUAGGGCCCUCAGGGGCAAGGGGACUAAACUAAAUCAAGUUGAGUUUUUUUCCAGCAGGGGUUAGGGGAGGUACUCACUGUUGAUAUUUGACACUAGAAAGUAAUCUUUUUUACAAAACUGUUUUUCUAGGUGGGUAGAAAGUGAAACUGCCACAUCCUUGUUGGUUUAGUCCAAGAGAUCAUUUGCAACAACAGUAGAUGUCUGGGUUUUGUUUCUGUCUUUUUAUUAUGAAAAACUAUGUUAAGGGGGAAAAUGUGGAUUAUGGUAACCAGAGGAAUCCCUAGCCUUGUUUUCCUUAGAAGACUUGUUUAGUGUUUUAUCAGACGUCUGUUGUAGUUGUAGACAGGAAAGCUUGUGAGAAAAACACCACAUGGAGCCUGUAAAUGUUUUUGCACAACCUGUAAAGCAUUCUUGGAAGUGGCCAGUAAAAAAGGGUUUUACCAUUUAAAAAAAAAAUGUAACUGUGUCAUUGUUUACAUCUGUAACUUUUUCCUCCCCUGUUCUCAUUACACCAUUCUGGCGAAAAUGUAGGCAAAGUAGCAUCCAGUUUUAGAAUAAAUAACCGUUUGGAUUGAAU